rnacentral:lncRNA from 8 species
AUGCGUAGGACACCACCCCGUCUUGACGGAACACAACAAAAGAACGACAAGCAGCAGGGUGAGGAAGAAGAGGAGGGAAAAGAGGCGGAACAAGAAGAGGAAGAGAAGGGAGAAGAGGAGGGACAUCAUGAUUUGGCUAAAUCUUCUCUAUGCCCGUCCUGUAGGCGUGGUUUUGAUGUUGCCCUUCUCCUACCAUGCUCCCAUACCCUGUGCGGGCGCUGUGUAGGAGGUGGAGAGGGGGCAGGGCGAUGUGGAGAGGGGGCAAGGCAAUGUGUACUGGAUGAGGAAGGGGACGGUGUGUGCCAUGCUUCCCGUGGUGGCACCUGUUCUGCCCACCACCGCUCUACCAGUACACCUGUGUGUGCCGUGCUGUGCCCUUGCUGUCGCCACCCUGUGGAGCUGCCAUGCUGGGAGUGGGCUUCUGCCACCUGUUGCCUGCCCCCUGACCCCACCCUGACCCCUGGGUGGACAGCCAGUAGUGCUGGGGACCAGGCGGAAGGAGGGAUGAAGGCCUUCUCACAGAGGAAUCCAUUCGGCAGAGACAAAGAGGACAUCACGGACCAGAUCACUGCUGCAUAUGAUGCAGGCUCACCACUGGAGGGUACUAUAGACCUGCGAGAGGAGGAGAUGGAACAGUCUGUCUCAGGUCUGACAUUCACCCUGGACCCCUCUGCUGCUGCACCCUCCCUCCAUCUCUCCACCUCUUCUCUCACUGUGACCUUCCACGGACCAAGCCCUCCACCACUCCCCUCUCGCCAUCAUGGAAACAGGGUGACAGGGUCAGUAACGAGCACUGAAUCCCAGGAGUCUGCCCCUCAGCCCCUCCCUCAGGUGUGUGGGGAUGUGGUCAUCGUCAGGGGUCAGUUCUACUGGGAGGUGGACGUCUGCAACAGCACCCUCUACAGGAUAGGAGUGAGCUCAUUGGACGAUGCUUGCGGCUGGUGGCUGGAAAGGCGGGGCUUGUCCUUCUCCACUGUGUACGAUAGCCGUCGGGAGCCCUUACAUGCCGUGCCACCCCAGAUCAAGACACUAGGGCUGUUCCUCAACAUGGGUGGAGGGGCGCUGAGCUUCCACAACCCUCUGACCCAGGAGCACCUGGCCACCCUACCCACUCGCUUCAGCCAUGCUGGGGUACGUCCCGCUCUGGGGCUGGGCCAGGGCAGGCUGAGGCUCCACUGUGGCCUACCCCCUCCACCUCACGUCUUUCUCAGCCGAGCAUCCGACUAUAGAGGGCCUACUGGAGCUGGUGGGGGUCGCUGGCGCAGAGACAUGCCCUUCCGAUCUGUACGGAUGGUCAUCCAGAAGUUUGAGGAGCUGGCGGUGUCAGAUUCUGACUCAGGGCUGGUGUCCAGUUUUGGGUCAUCCUGCUCCACUCUGGCCGAACCAGGCCCAGGCCUCAGCUUCAGCCUCAGCCCAGGAGCAGCUCUCCAUUCUGGGAAAGAGGGGAAGGAGGCUGGGGCAGAGUGACAUAUGGAGGACAGAGUAUAGUACCUUGUACAAUGAAGGGCCUCUACCCUGCUGGUGAUAGGAGCAAACUGCUACCACAUCACACUGUCACAUCAUCACAUUGCAAAUAGGUUGUCACAAAGUUGGUCAUGACAAUGUGUGACAAAUUUGGGAUAAACGUGUGAGAUGGAAGGACCAUUCUUCUGCUGUAUGAUGGGAGAAAAGUGAAUAACACACCAACUCUUUGGGAUGAGUUUGAUCUUUGGACGACCAUUUCCAUGUCUAAUUUCCCAUCUCUGAAGAACUCUCUGUGACUUCUCCCCAGGAUGCUGGGCUUCCUCUCAGCUACAUAACCCCUGGAGGUUUGGGGCUGGGCCAGCGCUGUUUGUGGGGGUGUUAGGAGGAUGUCUCACUGGGGGUCCCACACUCUGGUGUGGGGGUUGAUUGUAGGACAGUAGGGUUGAUAUGGAUGGUGGAGGUGUGUGUGUGUGUGUGUGUGUGUGUGUGUGUGUGUGUGUGUGUGAGGAUGUGAGGCGUGGGAGUCAGUGGCGGUAACACUACCCGUGUUGACUCAGGGUCACAAAGACAGGUGGUUACGUACGUUUAUCCCGCAGGAUGUGUGUGUGUGUGUGUGUGUGUGUGUGUGUGUGUGUAUGUGUGAGAUGGUUGGAGCAUGAAUAAGUCAGAAAUGUUAGAUUGUUUGUCCACUUGAUUGUGAUAUUCAAUCCUACUGCAACAUUAUUUGUCUGGUCAUCUGAACCAGGAAGUAGUAUUAAAGAGAGAUUUCCCUCUGUCCCAUCCUGUCUCUCCAUGAUCUCUCUUUUCUCUUGUUCUGAUUUAGAUUAGAUUUUAGAUUUUAGUCAUUUAGCAGACGCUCUUAUCCAGAGCGACUUACAGUAGUGAAUGCAUACAUUUCAUUUCAUACAUUUUUUUUUCUGUGCUGCUGUUUGCAUGUUCUGGAACGGACACUGGUAUCAUUUGGUCAGACCACCCAGAUUGUAAAUCAUUGUAAAAAAAAAAAACGUUUUUACCGCAGGAAUAAAAAUGUGCAACCAACAAAAU